ACGGUUCCGAAACUGCCCAUCGGCCGGACUCUCCCACCCGCCAGUGUGACCCUGACUCUGUGCCGGGUCUGAGGAUGCCCUCCGUCGUCACCCCUUAUAACGUGUUACCCGCGUUCGGACUACGUCGCUGCGGCGCACUCCCUACCUCCGGAAGCCCAACACUUGGAGAAAGCGGUCACUUCUUCCAGGACGAGAAACACCACCCCAACUGCCAUCGACCCAAUUACUUCGCGGCCGAUUGAUGCACGGUCGUCGGCGCCAUUAUGCAUCCCGCGCUCGCAACAGGCCUUAAUAACCCGCAUUUCCCGAACAUCCGCCGACCAGCGCAGACGGCACUUUAGGAGACCGAGUCGACCCCCGCACGCCACCCAUGCCCGACCGAACUCACGCCAUCCCCUCUGACCUUGAGGACCACAUCGCCACCUUACGCGUCUAUAGUCCUCCUUGUGGCCACCGCUUCCGCCCAGAGACCCGGCAAUGACUGCGACUCCUCGCUUUCGCACCCCUCGCUUGUCCUAAUCUAUGGGACCAUCAAGUGCGACAUUUGCAACCCGUGAUCCACACCCCCCGGAAAAGGCCCAAAAGGCGCGGCAUCGAUUG
rnacentral:rRNA from 1 species